rnacentral:rRNA from 1 species
CAGCAGCCGCGGUAAUACGAAGGGGGCUAGCGUUGUUCGGAUUUACUGGGCGUAAAGGGCGCGUAGGCGGCCAUUCAAGUUAGAUGUGAAAGCCCUGGGCUCAACCUAGGAAUUGCAUUUGAUACUGUUUGGCUUGAGUUCGGGAGAGGUGAGUGGAAUUCCCAGUGUAGAGGUGAAAUUCGUAGAUAUUGGGAAGAACACCAGUGGCGAAGGCGGCUCACUGGACCGACACUGACGCUGAGGCGCGAAAGCGUGGGGAGCAAACAGGAUUAGAUACCCCGGUAGUCCCUGUCUCUUAUAC